rnacentral:lncRNA from 1 species
AUUUCAUAACAAUCAUCAUAAUUUAUCCAAAUUGAACAUUGGAUGCCUUUUGUAAGAAAGAAUUUCAGAAUGAAGGGGCAAUGCUAUUAGGAUUUUCCAUGUUAACAAUGACAUUAAAAUCCGUCAUCGUCUUCCCCUCCCUAAAUCUUGAUUGAUGAUAUAAAUGUAUUUCCUUUCAGUAAUGAAUAUUUUUCAAUUUUAUUAAAUUCAAAUAAACAUGAGACAAUACAGAUUAUACUUGGCAUCUUUGCUAAUUUUGGCACCUUGCUAAUUUUGCCAAAUAUAUUUGGCAAAUAUUUGACUUGUUUACAAAACCUAGAUUAAUUUCUUGUAUCAAUUUCCACAUGUCCAUUACCUUAGUGAGCUAGAGAAGGACAGGAACUUAAUCAAUGAAAUGUUGAGUAAGCAUUUGUGGAUACAGAGUGAAUGUAAACUUUUUUAUGAGGGAAACUUAAGUGGCUUCCUUACAGGUUUUUUCUG